GACGAAGGAUGCAAGCGUUAUCCGGAUUCAUUGGGUUUAAAGGGAGCGUAGGCGGCUAAAUAAGUCAGUGGUGAAAUCUCUCAGCUUAACUGAGAAAUUGCCAUUGAUACUGUAUAGCUAGAGUACAGAUGCCGUUGGCGGAAUAUGACAUGUAGUGGUGAAAUACAUAGAGAUGUCAUAGAACACCGAUUGCGAAGGCAGCUGACGAAACUGUAACUGACGCUGAGGCUCGAAAGUGUGGGGAUCAAACAGG
rnacentral:rRNA from 1 species